rnacentral:rRNA from 1 species
GAUGAACGCUGGCGGCGUGCCUAAUACAUGCAAGUCGAACGAAGAGAGCAAUCUCUGAGUGGCGAACGGGUGAGUAACGCGUUGGUGACCUGCCCCGAAGUGUGGGAUACCAGGCCGAAAGGCUUGCUAAUACCGCAUGAGCAACUGGAGGACUAGAAGUCUGGUUGUAAAGGAGAAAUCCGCUUUGGGAGGGGCCUGCGUCCCAUCAGCUAGUUGGUAAGGUAACGGCUUACCAAGGCGAAGACGGGUAGGGGACCUGAGAGGGUGACCCCCCACAAUGGAACUGAAACACGGUCCAUACACCUACGGGUGGCAG